rnacentral:rRNA from 1 species
AAUGAACGUUGGCGGCGUGGAUUAGGCAUGCAAGUCGAGCGGAAAGGCCCGCAAGGGCACUCGAGCGGCGUAAGGGACAGUAAUGUGUAGGUAACGUACCCCUGGGUCUAGGAUAGCUGCGGGAAACUGCAAUUAAUACUAGAUAACGUCUCCGGACCAAAGGUGUGAUUCCACCUGGGGAGCGGCCUACAUCCUAUUAGCUAGUUGGCGAGGUAAUGGCUCACCAAGGCGAAGAUGGGUAGCAGGUGUGAGAGCACGACCUGCGUCACUGGGACUGAGACACUGCCCAGACACCUACGGGUGGCUGCAGUCGAGAAUCUUCGGCAAUGGGCGAAAGCCUGACCGAGCGACGCCGCGUGUGGGAUGAAGGCCUC